rnacentral:rRNA from 1 species
GAUGAACGCUGGCGGCGUGCCUAAUACAUGCAAGUCGAGCGAACGGACGAGAAGCUUGCUUCUCUGAUGUUAGCGGCGGACGGGUGAGUAACACGUGGAUAACCUACCUAUAAGACUGGGAUAACUUCGGGAAACCGGAGCUAAUACCGGAUAAUAUUUUGAACCGCAUGGUUCAAAAGUGAAAGACGGUCUUGCUGUCACUUAUAGAUGGAUCCGCGCUGCAUUAGCUAGUUGGUAAGGUAACGGCUUACCAAGGCAACGAUGCAUAGCCGACCUGAGAGGGUGAUCGGCCACACUGGGACUGAGACACGGUCCAGACUCCUACGGGAGGCAGCAGUAGGGAAUCUUCCGCAAUGGGCGAAAGCCUGACGGAGCAACGCCGCGUGAGCGAUGAAGGUCUUCGGAUCGUAAAACUCUGUUAUUAGGGAAGAACAUAUGUGUAAGUAACUGUGCACAUCUUGACGGUACCUAAUCAGAAAGCCACGGCUAACUACGUG